rnacentral:rRNA from 1 species
GAUGAACGCUGGCGGCGUGCCUAAUACAUGCAAGUCGAGCGAACAGACGAGGAGCUUGCUCCUUUGACGUUAGCGGCGGACGGGUGAGUAACACGUGGAUAACCUACCUAUAAGACUGGGAUAACUUCGGGAAACCGGAGCUAAUACCGGAUAAUAUAUUGAACCGCAUGGUUCAAUAGUAAAAGACGGCUUUGCUGUCACUUAUAGAUGGAUCCGCGCCGCAUUAGCUAGUUGGUAAGGUAACGGCUUACCAAGGCAACGAUGCGUAGCCGACCUGAGAGGGUGAUCGGCCACACUGGAACUGAGACACGGUCCAGACUCCUACGGGAGGCAGCAGUAGGGAAUCUUCCGCAAUGGGCGAAAGCCUGACGGAGCAACGCCGCGUGAGUGAUGAAGGUCUUCGGAUCGUAAAACUCUGUUAUUAGGGAAGAACAAAUGUGUAAGUAACUAUGCACGUCUUGACGGUACCUAAUCAGAAAGCCACGGCUAACUACGUG